rnacentral:rRNA from 1 species
AGCGAACGCUGGCGGCAGGCCUAACACAUGCAAGUCGAGCGCCGUAGCAAUACGGAGCGGCAGACGGGAGAGUAACACGUGGGAACGUACCCUUUGGUUCGGAACAACCCAGGGAAACUUGGGCUAAUACCGGAUAAGCCCUCACGGGGAAAGAUUCAUCGCCGAAGGAUCGGCGCGCGUCUGAUUAGCUAGUUGGUGGGGUAAUGGCGCACCAAGGCGACGAUCAGUAGCUGGUCUGAGAGGAUGAACAGCCUCACUGGGACUGAGACACGGCCCAGACUCCUACGCGAGGGAGCAGUGGAGAAUAUUGGACAAUGGGCGCAAGCCUGAUCCAGCCAUGCCGCGUGGGUGAUGAAGGCCCUAGGGUUGUAAAGCCCUUUCGGCGGGGAAGAUAAUGACGGUACCCGCAGAAGAAGCCCCGGCUAACUUCGUGCCAACAGCCGCCGCAGUAA